rnacentral:rRNA from 1 species
UGCUUGCAUGCUGGGGUUGUAGGACGUCCCAUACGGAGUAAGAAAGGACGAGGGUAGGCGAAUUGAUCUGGAAAGGUCAGCCAUAGGGUGUAACAGCCACGUAGCCGAAACCCUUGUCCCUCCGGGACGGAUCCUGAGUACGGCGGGACACGUGAAACCCCGUCGGAAUCUGGGAGGACCAUCUCCCAAGGCUAAAUACUACCUAGUGACCGAUAGUGAACCAGUACCGUGAGGGAAAGGUGAAAAGCACCCCGGGAGGGGAGUGAAAAAGAACCUGAAACCGUGUGCCUACAAUCAGUCGAAGCACCAUUAAUGUGUGACGGCGUGCCUUUUGUAGAAUGAACCGGCGAGUUACGAUUCCGUGCCAGGUUAAGUUGAAGAGACGGAGCCGCAGCGAAAGCGAGUCUGAAUAGGGCGAAAGUACGGGGUCGUAGACCCGAAACCGUGUGAUCUACCCAUGUCCAGGGUGAAGUUCAGGUAACACUGAAUGGAGGCCCGAACCCACGCACGUUGAAAAGUGCGGGGAUGAGGUGUGGGUAGGGGUGAAAUGCCAAUCGAACACGGAGAUAGCUGGUUCUCCCCGAAAUAGCUUUAGGGCUAGCCUCGGAAGAUGAGUUGUGGAGGUAGAGCACUGAUUGGACUAGGGGUCCCCACAGGAUUACCGAAUUCAGUCAAACUCCGAAUGCCACGUACUUUAUUCCGGGAGUCAGACUAUGAGUGCUAAGAUCCAUAGUCGAAAGGGAAACAGCCCAGACCAUCAGCUAAGGUCCCCAAGUAUACGUUAAGUGGGAAAGGAUGUGGAGUUGCUCAGACAACCAGGAUGUUGGCUUAGAAGCAGCCACCAUUUAAAGAGUGCGUAAUAGCUCACUGGUCGAGUGACUCUGCGCCGAAAAUGUACCGGGGCUAAACGUAUCACCGAAGCUAUGGAUGCUAGAGGUUAGAAGUAAGAAGUGAGAAGUUGGAGGAAAAGAUGAUUAAAAGCUACCGAGAUUUACGAGUGUAUCAACAGUCGUAUAACCUUGGGAAAGAUAUUCAUCAGGUGACCCACCAGUUCCCAAAACAUGAACAGUAUGAGUUAGGAAGUCAGUUAAGAAGAGCAGCAAUAUCUAUUCCGCUCAAUAUUGCUGAAGGAUAUGGCAAGAAGCAAUCUGUAGCUGAUUUUAAACGAUUUCUUUUAAUUGCUUUAGGCUCAUGCAAUGAAGUUCAAGUUUUAUUGGAUUAUGCUAAAGAUUUUAGCUAUAUCUCAGAGGAACAAUAUGGAUUACUGUGGGAAAGAGCAGACCAAUUAGGGAAGCAAUUAAAUAAACUUCACAAGAAUUGGCAAUCUCUCUAAUUUUCUCUCACGUCUAACUUCUAACCUCUAGUGUGGUAGGGGAGCGUUCUAAGGGCUGAGAAGCCAGACCGUAAGGACUGGUGGAGCGCUUAGAAGUGAGAAUGCCGGUAUGAGUAGCGAAAAGACAAGUGAGAAUCUUGUCCGCCGAAAGC